rnacentral:rRNA from 1 species
AGUGAACGCUGGCGGUAGGCCUAACACAUGCAAGUCGAGCGGCAGCACAGUAAGAGCUUGCUCUUACGGGUGGCGAGUGGCGGACGGGUGCGGAAUACAUCGGAAUCUACUUUUUCGAGGGGGCUAACGCAGGGAAACUUACGCUAAUACCGCAUACGACCUACGGGUGAAAGCAGCGGAUCUUCGGACCUUGCGCGAUUGAAUGAGCCGAUGUCGGAUUAGCUAGUUGGCGGGGUAAAGGCCCACCAAGGCGACGAUCCGUAGCUGGUCUGAGAGGAUGAUCAGCCACACUGGAACUGAGACACGGUCCAGACUCCUACGGGAGGCAGCAGUGGGGAAUAUUGGACAAAGGGCGCAAGCCUGAUCCAGCCAUACCGCGUGGGUGAAGAAGGCCUUCGGGUUGUAAAGCCCUUUUGUUGGGAAAGAAAAGCAGCAGGUUAAUACCCCGCUGUUCUGACGUUACCCAAAGAAUAAGCACCGGCUAACUUCGUG